rnacentral:rRNA from 1 species
AACCUGGUUGAUCCUGCCAGUAAUCAUACGCUCGUCUCAAAGAUUAAGCCAUGCAAGUGUAAGUAUAAGCUUUUAUAUAGUGAAACUGCGAAUGGCUCAUUAUAUCAGUUAUAAUUUAUUUGAUAAAAUAAUAUUUUUUUUACUAUAUGGAUAACCGUAGUAAUUCUAGAGCUAAUACAUGAAUAAAUUUUUAUUUUUAUUAAAAUAGCAAUAUUUUAAUAAAAAUAAAAUGUAUUUAUUAGAAUAUAAUCAACUUUAUAUUAUAAUAUUUAAUAGAUAUUAUAAUAUAAAAUAGAUGAUUCAUAAUAAAUUAUAUUUUAUUUAAAAAUAUUUAUUAUUACUAAUCGCAGAUAAUUAAUUUUGGCGAUAUAUCAUUUAAGUUUCUGCCCUAUCAGCUUUAGAUGGUAGUGUAUUGGACUACCAUGGCAAUAACGGGUAACGAAGAAUUUGGGUUCGAUUUCGGAGAGGGAGCCUGAGAAAUGGCUACCACAUCCAAGGAAGGCAGCAGGCGCGUAAAUUACCCAAUCCUAAAAUAGGGAGGUAGUGACAAGAAAUAACAAUGUUAAGCUAUUUAAUAGUUUUAACAAUUGUAAUGAAUAAAAUAUAAAUAAAAUAAUGAAUACAAUUGGAGGGCAAGUCUGAUGCCAGCAGCCGCGGUAACUUCAGCUCCAAUAGCGUAUAUUACCAUUGUUGCAUUUAAAAAGCUCGUAGUUGAAUUUAUUUUUAUAAAUUUAUAAAAAAAAUAUUAUUAUAAUUAUAAUAAAUUCAUUUUUAUUAUAAUUAUUAAUAAAUUAAUAUUUUUUUUUAUUUAUAAAAAAUUUCUUUAUUUUUUAUUAAUUUAUUAAUAAAAAAUAAAAUUUUACUGUGAAAAAAUUAGAGUGUUUAAAGCAUGUUACACAAAAAAAUAUAUUUAAUUAUAUAUUUUGCUUGAAUAUAUUAGCAUGGAAUAAUAAAAUAUAUUAUAUUUUUAUAUUAUUUUGUUGGUUAGAUAUAAAAAUAUAUAAUGAUUAAUAGGGACAAUUGGGGGUAUUUAUAUUUCAUAGUCAGAGGUGAAAUUCUGGGAUUUAUGAAAGAUAAACAAAUGCGAAAGCAUUUACCAAAAAUGUUUUCAUUAAUCAAGAACGAAAGUUAGGGGAUCAAAGAGGCUUAGAUACCCUCGUAGUCUUAACUAUAAACUAUAACACCUAAAUAUUGGUAUAAUAAUUUUAAUAUUUAUUAUUUUAUUUAUAUUUUUAAUAUAAAUAAAUAUAAUAAAUUAAUAAUAUAUAUCAGAAUUUAUAAUGGGAAACCAAAGGUUUUGGUUUAUGGGGGAAGUACGGUCGCAAGGCUGAAACUUAAAGGAAUUGACGGAAGGGCACACCAGAUAUGGGUUAUGCGGCUUAAUUUGACUCAACACGGGGAAACUUACCAGGUCCAGACACAGUUAGGAUUGACAGAUUAAUGAUCUUUCUUGAUUCUGUGGGUGGUGGUGCAUGGCCGUUCUUAGUUGGUGGAGUGAUUUGUCUGGUUAAUUCCGAUAACGAACGAGACCUUCGCUUAUUAAAUAAUUUAAUUAUAUUUUUAUAAUUAUAUUAAUAUUAUUAUAUAUUAUAAUAUUUAUAUUAUAAUAUAUAAUAAUAUUAUAUAAUUAUUAUUAAUAAGAUAUAAUAAAUAUUAUUAUAUUUAUAUAAUAAUAUAAAAUUACUUAAAAGGACACUGAAAAUUUAUUUCAGGGAAGUUGAAGGCAAUAACAGGUCUGUGAUGCCCUUAGAUGUUCUGGGCCGCACGUGUGACACAAUGAUAUAUUCAAUAAGUAUUAUAAAACAAUUUUUUUUUAUUAAAAAAUUAAAAAAUCUAAACUGUAAAGUUAUGAUAAUCUUAAAUAUAUAUCGUGUUUGGGAUUGAUGCUUGUAAUUAUUCAUCAUGAACGAGGAACACCUAGUAAGUGCAAGUCAUCAGCUUGCGCUGAAUACGUCCCUGCCCUUUGUACACACCGCCCGUCGCACCUACCGAUUGGAUGAUCCGAUGAAAAUAAUAGAAAUUUGGAUAAUUAAGUUAUAUUUAUUUAUAAUGAAAUAUUUGAAUUAAAGUUAUUUAAAUCUUAUUAUCUAGAGGAAGGUGAAGUCGUAACAAGGUUUCCGUAGGUGAACCUGCGGAAGGAUCA